CGUGUUGUGGGUUUGUAAAUCCCGUUGAUCGGAUGAUUUCCACUGAUUUUCCUGUCAUGUGGAGUGGUCACGAUUCAGUGGCUUUAGCUUUUUACGAGUACGGUAAACGUUAAUUAAAAAGUCAGUUUAUUCAUUUAGUUAAUAUUAGUGUUUACUUAAAGCCUUUACUCGAGAAAUCUUAAGCAAGCAUUAAAGUUGAGAUUUCUAACUCGUGUUGGGAUAACAAUAAGAUUUUCUACUAAAAACAACUGAGUUGGCUUAUACCUUGAAUCCACCUGAGUCCAAGCUACACGUUAAAUUAUUCAAAGACAGCGAACAUGGCGUUAUCCUGUAAUUAUUCGUGGGAUAAACGCGGAAAACGUAGCUGCGAACGGGCUAACAAGUUAUUUGAAUUCCGCACAAAGCUCGAGUCAAUCUAUUAUUCUGCUGGCGAUCUAGCAACAAAAACGAAUGAUAUGGCCAACUGUGAACGUAGAAGUCCGUGUGGAUUUGCCGGGUCGGAGUUCACCCCGUUGCACCUCGUUUUUCCCAACAAGGCGCGAAUGCGAGCCACGGUCUUUGGCGGAAUCAACAACCGUAUACGCUACUAAUGGAUUCUCGCUGUGCCACCCGCCCGUAAUCCUUUUAAGUCCCACCUCCUAAGCCAAUAGCACCCCCCAUUUCCACACCCACUUCCACCUUAUCCACUUGAGAAGUGUGCAAAGCAGCGCCCGAGGGCCGAUUGCAACAUUUCUCAUGCGCAACGCUGGAAACAAUUGCAUUCGAGUUGCGCCAGCUUUUGUCUUGAUUUCACUUUAGCCGGGCAGCUGAAUUCGAAAUGCAAUUUGUAGCUGACAAGUGGCCGGCGGACACAAUGAAUCGCAAAUUCCAACGCAAUCCUCGCGCCAAUUAGGCAAAGGACCCAGGGAAAGGGAAAUAUUUAUGCACCCAAUUUGAACGUGAACGCGUACGAGGUCCUCGGGCCAUUUGUGGCCAAGCUCAUCUAAUGGCCAACUCCAAAUCAUAAUCAUAAUCAAGGGGGGUGGGCUAGGGGAUCCAUUCCUGAGAGGAAUACGUUUUCACGCUUCCUUGAAGCGUAAGUGACAGGAAGAAUCAUGGGGCCAUAUUAAGGGCCUACAGUGAAAAUGCUGUAGGCUAAGCUCGAUGUUCCGAAAUGUUAAAUUGAGUUUGGUGGUUUUAUAGAAUAUCUUGUACUAUCUUGAAUAUUUCUAAUUUGCUAAUUUAUAUUUUCAUCAGACCUGUUUAGUGUCAUAUUAUAAUUUCUAAAAAUAAUCCCUUGUCUAUACAAUUUUCGCUCUUAGAAUUCACAACACUUAAUUCGUUUAA